rnacentral:rRNA from 1 species
UACGAAGGGUGCAAGCGUUACUCGGAAUUACUGGGCGUAAAGCGUGCGUAGGCGGUUUGUUAAGUCUGAUGUGAAAGCCCUGGGCUCAACCUGGGAAUGGCAUUGGAUACUGGCAACCUAGAAUGUGGUAGAGGGUGGCGGAAUUCCCGGUGUAGCAGUGAAAUGCGUAGAUAUCGGGAGGAACAUCCGUGGCGAAGGCGGCCACCUGGACCAACAUUGACGCUGAGGCACGAAAGCGUGGGGAGCAAACAGGAUUAGAUACCCUGGUAGUCCACGCCCUAAACGAUGCGAACUGGAUGUUGGGUUCAAUUGAGAACUCAGUAUCGAAGCUAACGCGUUAAGUUCGCCGCCUGGGAAGUACGGUCGCAAGACUGAA